rnacentral:rRNA from 1 species
GACGAACGCUGGCGGCGUGCUUAACACAUGCAAGUCGAACGAAAAGGCCCGAAUCUUGCUUCUCUGAUGUUAGCCGCGGGCGUGAGAGUAACGCGAGUAUCCCCUACCUAUAAGACUGGGAUAACUACGGGAAACCGUAGCUAAUACCGGAUAAUAUCUUGAUCCGCGGGGUUGAAAAGUUAAAGACGGUCUUGCUGGCCCUUCUAGAUGUAUCCGCGCUGGUUGAGUUAGUUGGUAAGGUAACGGCUUAGCAAGGCAACGAUGCAUAGCCGACCUGAUAGGGGGAUAGGCCACACUGGAGGUGAGCCACGGCCCUGAGACCGACGGGAGGCCGCAGUAGGGAAUGGUCGGCAAUGGGGGAAAGCCUGACGGAGCAGCGGCGCGUGGGUGAUGAAAGUCCUCGGAUCGGAAAACGCUGUUAUGGGUGAAAAACAUAUGUGGAAGGAGCUGUGCACAUCUUGACGGUACCUAAUCAAGAAGCAACGGCUAACUACGUG